AUUGAACGCUGGCGGCAGGCCUAACACAUGCAAGUAGAGCGGAGCGGCGGACGGGUGAGUAAUGCCUAGGAAUCUGCCUGGUAGUGGUGGAUAACGUCCGGAAACGAGCGCUAAUCCCGCAUAUUAUCAAAUGAGCCUAGGUCGGAUUAGCUAGUUGGUGGGGUAAAGGCCUACCAAGGCUACGCUCCGUAACUGGUCUGAGCGGAUGAUCAGUCACACGGGAACUGAGACCCGGUCCAGACUCCUACGGGAGGCAGCGGUGGGGAAUAUUGGACAAUGGGCGAAAGCCUGAGCCAGCCAUGCGGCGUAUGUGAAGAAGGUCUUCGGAUUGUAAAGCACUUUAAGUUGGGAGGCGUUACCAACAGAAUAAGCACCGGCUAACUUCGUGCCAGCAGCCGCGGGAAUUC
rnacentral:rRNA from 1 species